CUCGCUUCGUGAACAUACGCACAGUCUCAUCUCUAUCCACUCACCGACGCCGCCCAAAAAAACCAAUACUCUUAAUCUCUCUGAUGAUUAUCAUGGGAGAAGGAAGGAGAGAAAAAAAAAGGAUGGAGAAAGACUGGGUCUCUCGGGAACCCUCGAGAAAUUCCCCUCUCUCUCUUCUCUUGCAAUUUGUAGGAAGCUUUCUGCUUUCUUUACAUCACCAGUAAAUAACAUAGCAAGGCAUGGGAUUCGAUAUUAAUUAUCAAUCCGAUCACAGCUUAAUUUGUGAAGCGAAGAUUCACGUAAAUUUCACGAAACCACGCGAAUUUCAUCUUUACUUGCUCUUUCUUGUCGCUGACACAGAUCACGCAAAGACUGGCAUCACCAUGUUUGAUUCUCGUGAAGAACUCAUCAGCUAAGCCAUGGUUUGAUGAGGAAACGUUGAGGUACACAAUCCCUCCUUUUCAACUAGAAGGAAGGCGAUAUGCAAGAGCAACGGCUCUGUUAAAUUCCCCUGAUUAAAGGUAAACUUGUUGAAAUUCUAGUAAUUUCAAUUCGGGUUCGGGGUGUUACAAAUGGCAUCAGAGCGGGGAAAUGAUUUCUAAGGGAUAGACUUUGGGUUGAAAUGGACUCGUGGUAUGGGUUUUCAUAAUUUUGCGAGUAUGCAUGAUUGUUUGCUUUGAAUCAUUGUCCGUCAAGGUUUUUGGGUUUUGGUAUAAACUUUUUGUAUUGAUUCAUUGAUACCAAAUUUAAGAGGUUGUUUCAAUUUUACUCAGUUUUAGACUCAAAUCUUCAGGAGAACUCUUUGGCUUAGUUUUUGGAGUCUCUGUGUUAGAUCGACUCAGUUUCUGCUCUCACCAUAUUGUUUUGCUGGUUUGGUAUUUGCUGAAGUUUUAUUUUUAGACAUUUGGUUCUUGGAUAUUCUUGCUGCUGGGUGCGUGUAUAAUUUUCCACAUCAUUAAUUGCUCUCAACAUGGUGCUAUGGUAGUUGUUCUAUGUUAUAGAUAUUGAAUUUUUUUUUUCAAACCAAAAGGAAGUUUGUAUCACUGUUAACUAGUGAGUAUGAACUUGAGAGAGUGCAUUUAAGCUUAUUAAGUUAUUAUUAACUUGGGUUGAAUUGGGUUGCUGUUUGCUGAGCCUAGUUUUGACGGGAGUUUGAUUAUUAGAUUAGGAAGUUGAACACAUAAUCGGUGUACAAAGAGAAGGUGGUGGUGUGCUACUUUGUUUUAUCUUGAUUACAUCAUAUUACGGUAACUUGAUUAUUUGCCCACUUAUUUAAUUUAAAAGAUGGAAUUGAUGACAUUUUCAUUUUGGGGAGCUAUUGGUUUCUGAUCUUUUUCACACAGUUGGUGUGGUUCAGUUGUUGUUUCUCCUUAUUAAGGGUGGUCUUGUGGUUUAUCUAUAUAUAUAUAUAUACACACACAUACUUCUGUACACUUUAAUGUAUAUUGUUGGUGCAAAGCUUCAAGGAUCGUACAAGACACAGAUCCAAGGUGUAGAGAACGCCCUAGUAAGGCAUUGCUUUAUAGAACUAAAUUAAGUCUCUGCUUGUUUGUCAUAUAAUUGAGAUAUUAUAACAGUGUUCUGUUAUUGCAUUACUUUGCUAUUAUUUGGUUGGUUGUGGGUGCUGUGAUGAAGGCUUGAUUAUUUGCUUCUAUCAUAUAUGGGUGCCGAAAGCAAUGCUGCUAGUUGCUUAUUAUCUUUUAUCUCUCUGGAUAUGUAUUUAUGUAUUUUGAUAUUGGGCUGAUGUAAAGGACACAAUGAGUCUGGGAUGCAGGUAAAUGUUCUUGUUUAUAUUUGAGUAUAUUAGUAUUCUAAUAUGAACUGAAUCAAUUCCAGAUAUUCUUUAUUACUUGCCCUGUUUUAUGAUGCAGCAUUUGAGUCUUGGUACAUUUAAUUUUUGUGGAACUAACACUCUGUUGAUCAUUUAGCAAAGUUUUUUUUUCGGAGUGGAUUGUUCUUGUGAGGUGCUUAUUCUCCUAGCUCACUGUUGUAUAUGGGGCAGACUUCAUUUGUUAGUUUCUGAAAGUUUACGAUGCUGUCUCUUGUACUUGUAUAUGUAGCCAUACCAAUGUAUCAUCUGUUUUAAGAGUUUGUAUAUGUAAAUUAUAUGUAAAUUAUAUGUAAUGAGUCAGUAUGCGGAACUGGAAUCCUCAAAAGGAUGCAAUAAUCUCUGGGAAGCAGAUAUAUUCAGAAUCCAAUUGAAUGUAAAGAACGAUUGGAGCUCUAAUGAAUUUGAUCCGGUUAGGCCCGGGAUAUAAGUAAGGAGGGAUCGAGUUCCCUUGGGUGAAAGACCCUAAACCCGAUUGAGGCUCGUGGAUUCGAGCGGAUAAUUAAGUAGGGAUUGUGCCUCCCUAGGGUGAAAGACCCAAAACCCAAUCGGGAAUCCGCUUAGUACGGGGUGUGCUCGGUGGCCUUAAUGCGAGCAAUGGGCUCUAACCGGGAAAAAGAGUAAAGAAAGAGAUUGUUAUUUGACAAAUUCAAAAGAAGCAUGCUGAAUGAAUGUUGCCAAUGGCCAAACUCGAUGAACACAUUGGACUUGGCUAUUUGGAUCAAAUUAUUGUCAAAGAUGAUGAUGCGUUCUGAUAUGAAAGAAAAAGGUAAUUGUGAGAAUAACCAAAGAAUGCAAUGGACAACUCAAUUAUCAAUUUUGAUGAAUC